rnacentral:rRNA from 1 species
GAGUUUGAUCAUGGCUCAGAUUGAACGCUGGCGGCAGGCCUAACACAUGCAAGUCGAGCGGUAGAGAGAAGCUUGCUUCUCUUGAGAGCGGCGGACGGGUGAGUAAUGCCUAGGAAUCUGCCUGGUAGUGGGGGAUAACGCUCGGAAACGGACGCUAAUACCGCAUACGUCCUACGGGAGAAAGCAGGGGACCUUCGGGCCUUGCGCUAUCAGAUGAGCCUAGGUCGGAUUAGCUAGUUGGUGAGGUAAUGGCUCACCAAGGCGACGAUCCGUAACUGGUCUGAGAGGAUGAUCAGUCACACUGGAACUGAGACACGGUCCAGACUCCUACGGGAGGCAGCAGUGGGAAUAUUGGACAAUGGGCGAAAGCCUGAUCCAGCCAUG